UACGGGGGGGGCAAGCGUUGUUCGGAAUUACUGGGCGUAAAGGGCUCGUAGGCGGCCAACUAAGUCGGACGUGAAAUCCCCAGGCUCAACCUGGGAACUGCGUCCGAUACUGGAUGGCUUGAAUUCGGGAGAGGGAUGCAGAAUUCCAGGUGUAGCGGUGAAAUACGUAGAUAUCUGGAGGAAUACCGGUGGCGAAGGCGGCAUCCUGGACCGACAUUGACGCUGAGGAGCGAAAGCUAGGGGAGCAAACGGG
rnacentral:rRNA from 1 species